rnacentral:tRNA from 1 species
ACUUCAGGAAUUGAAAUAUCGGUAUUUUCAUUAGCAUAUAAUCGACCAAAAGAGACGUCGCCAUUAUCGCUGGCACAGACAUUGUCA